UACGGAGGAUCCGAGCGUUAUCCGGAUUUAUUGGGUUUAAAGGGAGCGUAGGCGGGUUGUUAAGUCAGUUGUGAAAGUUUGCGGCUCAACCGUAAAAUUGCAGUUGAUACUGGCGACCUUGAGUGCAACAGAGGUAGGCGGAAUUCGUGGUGUAGCGGUGAAAUGCUUAGAUAUCACGAAGAACUCCGAUUGCGAAGGCAGCUUACUGGAUUGUAACUGACGCUGAUGCGCGAAAGUGUGGGUAUCAAACAGGAUUAGAAACCCGAGUAGCGUGACUGACU
rnacentral:rRNA from 1 species